UGGGGAAUUUUGGACAAUGGGGGCAACCCUGAUCCAGCAAUGCCGCGUGAGUGAAGAAGGCCUUCGGGUUGUAAAGCUCCUUUGUCAGGGAAGAAACGGUGCGGGCUAAUAUCCUGCACUAAUGACGGUACCUGAAGAAUAAGCACCGGCUAACUACGUGCCAGCAGCCGCGGUAAUACGUAGGGUGCAAGCGUUAAUCGGAAUUACUGGGCGUAAAGCGUGCGCAGGCGGUUUUGUAAGUCUGUCGUGAAAUCCCCGGGCUCAACCUGGGAAUUGCGAUGGAGACUGCAAGGCUAGAAUCUGGCAGAGGGGGGUAGAAUUCCACGUGUAGCAGUGAAAUGCGUAGAGAUGUGGAGGAACACCGAUGGCGAAGGCAGCCCCCUGGGUCAAGAUUGACGCUCAUGCACGAAAGCGUGGGGAGCAAACAGGAUUAGAUACCCGUGUAGUCCCUGAGCGGGCUGGCAAGGCGCAU
rnacentral:rRNA from 1 species